AGGGGACUGGUUGGCUGAUUGUAGGAAAGGGCAUUGAAACAGAGGGGAUUAGGGUAUUGAGCUAUAUUAAAGAACAACUGAAGAUGUUGAAUGUUAAAGAAAAAAAGUCCAGUCUUCAGAAAGACAGAGAAAGUUACUAAAAAGUUAACAGGAAGGGAUGAUGCCAUUAACAUAAAGGGAGGCAUCUAGAAAUGUCACUAAAGACAAAAGAUUAUACUCCCCCAUUUUCUGAAUGAAGGAAUAGAGUCUCACAAAUAAACCAUCUCUUUUUGAGAUGUGGUGGAGAAACAACAUUCUCUAGGUAAUUAUCAGUUGAGAGGUAUGAGGAUGAAGAGUUCUGAACUUUCUAAUAGAAGAAGACCAGAC
rnacentral:lncRNA from 10 species